AAAAAGGUACCCAAAGCCCUGAAGUACAUGUGAAAGUCACAACUAGUAACGUGAUAAAAGUCUUUAAAGUCUGUGUGUUGCAUUAAGGCUAGAUUGUGUUUUGUUUUUUUUGUUUCUUGCAGGUUAAGUUCAGUGAACUAACUGUUGACAUGUUCCGGAUGUUACAAGCUCUGGAAAGGGAGCCAAUGAAUUUAGCUUCCCAGAUGAAUAAACCAGGAAUGCAGGAAUCAGCUGACAAGCCUACUAGACGAGAAAACCCCCACAAGUAUCUGCUCUACAAACCAACCUUCAGCCAACUAUAUACCUUCUUAGCAGCAUCUUUUAAGGAGCUGCCUGCCAAUAGUGUGCUUCUGAUUUACCUGUCGGCCACUGGCGUUUUCCCCACAGGUCGUUCUGAUAGUGAAGGUCCUUAUGAUUUUGGAGGUGUACUUACUAAUAGUAAUCGGGAUAUUAUUAAUGGAGAUGCCAUCCACAAACGAAAUCAG
rnacentral:sRNA from 1 species